rnacentral:rRNA from 1 species
ACGUACAGCCAUACCGGACUGAAGAAUGCACCUGAUAUCAGAACCUAAAAAGUCCCAGCCUUUUGAGUACUUAGAAGGGAGCCCACCUGGGAAUCGUGGAUGCUGUAGGCA